rnacentral:rRNA from 1 species
GGGUUGUAAACUUCUUUUAUACGGGAAUAAAGUGGGGCACGUGUGCCUUUUUGUAUGUACCGUAUGAAUAAGGAUCGGCUAACUCCGUGCCAGCAGCCGCGGUAAUACGGAGGAUCCGAGCGUUAUCCGGAUUUAUUGGGUUUAAAGGGAGCGUAGGCGGACGCUUAAGUCAGUUGUGAAAGUUUGCGGCUCAACCGUAAAAUUGCAGUUGAUACUGGGUGUCUUGGGUACAGUAGAGGCAGGCGGAAUUCGUGGUGUAGCGGUGAAAUGCUUAGAUAUCACGAAGAACUCCGAUUGCGAAGGCAGCUUGCUGGACUGUAACUGACGCUGAUGCUCGAAAGUGUGGGUAUCAAACAGGAUUAGAUACCCUGGUAGUCCACACAGUAAA